rnacentral:misc_RNA from 1 species
CUGGGUUCGUUGUCGUUUUUUUGCCGCAAAACAAGUUUUUUAGUACCCCUAAACCAGCCGGUUAACUAUCUAUCUGGGAUAGGAAGCAUGCAGCGCAACAAGGAAACACCCCCGAGAGGGGGGGACUCGAGACGACACUCACAGUAGCCAGAGACUAGGCAGUAGAGGACCAGGCCGACCCAGACGGCACGUUGAACAGAGCGCCGGCAGGUCCUUCUCCUCUUGGAGGCGCCACCACCCACGUCCUCCGCAGCUUCCACCAGAC